UACAUGGGGUGCAAACGUUGCUCGGAAUUAUUGGGCGUAAAGCGCACGUAGGCGGUUUGUUAAGUCGGAUGUGAAAUCCCUCGGCUCAACUGAGGAAGUGCAUCCGAAACUGGCAGGCUUGAGUACUAAAGAGGGUCGCGGAAUUCCCGGUGUAGAGGUGAAAUUCGUAGAUAUCGGGAGGAGCACCGGUGGCGAAGGCGGCGACCUGGGUAGAUACUGACGCUGAGGUGCGAAAGCGUGGGGAGCAAACAGG
rnacentral:rRNA from 1 species